CCUACGGGAGACAGCAGUGAGGAAUAUUGGUCAAUGGACGGAAGUCUGAACCAGCCAUGCCGCGUGCAGGAAGACGGCUCUAUGAGUUGUAAACUGCUUUUGUAGAAGGGUAAACCGGAAUACGUGUAUGCAGCUGAAAGUACGGUACGAAUAAGGAUCGGCUAACUCCGUGCCAGCAGCCGCGGUAAGACGGAGGAACCAAGCGUUAUCCGGAUUUAUUGGGUUUAAAGGGGGCGUAGGCGGGUUGAUAAGUUAGAGGUGAAAUUUCCUGGCUUAACUCGGGAACUGCCUCUCAUACUGUUGCUCUAGUGUGUAGCUGCGGUAGGCGGAAUGUCUGGUGUAGCGGUGAAAUGCUUA
rnacentral:rRNA from 1 species